UACAGAGGGUGCGAGCGUUAAUCGGAAUUACUGGGCGUAAAGCGUGCGUAGACGGUUAUGUAAGUCAGAUGUGAAAGCCCCGGGCUUAACCUGGGAAUGGCAUUUGAGACUGCAUAGCUAGGAUGCGGAAGAGGGCAGUGGAAUUUCCGGUGUAGCGGUGAAAUGCGUAGAUAUCGGAAGGAACAUCAGUGGCGAAAGCGACUGCCUGGUCCAGCAUCGACGUUCAGGCACGAAAGCGUGGGAGCAAACAGG
rnacentral:rRNA from 1 species